rnacentral:lncRNA from 1 species
CGGAUGUCCAAAGAAUGUGCAUGGCAGAUUCAAUGCAAUUCUGUGUCUACCAGACAUCGAACAACACAGGAGAGGGGUGUGUUGCAGACUCAAUUUAAUAAAUGCAAUUAUCAGGGCCUAUUCAGUGAUUUUCCAUGAAGUGACCACUUUUACAUACACUCACCGGCCACUUUAUUAGGUACACCUGUCCAACUGCUCGUUAACACUUAAUUUCUAAUCAGCCAAUCACAUGGCGGCAACUUAGUGCAUUUAGGCAUGUAGACAUGGUCAAGACAAUCUCCUGCAGUUCAAACCGAGCAUCAGUAUGGGGAAGAAAGGUGAUUUGAGUGACUUUGAACGUGGCAUGGUUGUUGGUGCCAGAAGGGCUGGUCUGAGUAUUUCAGAAACUGCUGAUCUACUGGGAUUUUCACGCACAACCAUCUCUAGGGUUUACAGAGAAUGGUCCGAAAAAGAAAAAAUAUCCAGUGAGCGGCAGUUCUGUGGGCGGAAAUGCCUUGUUGAUGCCAGAGGUCAGAGGAGAAUGGCCAGACUGGUUCGAGCUGAUAGAAAGGCAACAGUGACUCAAAUAACCACCCGUUACAACCAAGGUAGGCAGAAGAGCAUCUCUGAACGCACAGUACGUCGAACUUUGAGGCAGAUGGGCUACAGCAGCAGAAGACCACACCGGGUGCCACUCCUUUCAGCUAAUAACAGGAAACUGAGGCUACAAUUUGCACAAGCUCAUCGAAAUUGGACAAUAGAAGAUUGGAAAAACGUUGCCUGGUCUGAUGAGUCUCGAUUUCUGCUGCGACAUUCGGAUGGUAGGGUCAGAAUUUGGCGUCAACAACAUGAAAGCAUGGAUCCAUCCUGCCUUGUAUCAACGGUUCAGGCUGGUGGUGGUGGUGUCAUGGUGUGGGGAAUAUUUUCUUGGCACUCUUUGGGCCCCUUGGUACCAAUUGAGCAUCGUUGCAACGCCACAGCCUACCUGAGUAUUGUUGCUGACCAUGUCCAUCCCUUUAUGACCACAAUGUACCCAACUUCUGAUGGCUACUUUCAGCAGGAUAAUGCGCCAUGUCAUAAAGCUGGAAUCAUCUCAGACUGGUUUCUUGAACAUGACAAUGAGUUCACUGUACUCAAAUGGCCUCCACAGUCACCAGAUCUCAAUCCAAUAGAGCAUCUUUGGGAUGUGGUGGAACGGGAGAUUCGCAUCAUGGAUGUGCAGCCGACAAAUCUGCGGCAACUGUGUGAUGCCAUCAUGUCAAUAUGGACCAAGCUCUCUGAGGAAUGCUUCCAGCACCUUGUUGAAUCUAUGCCACGAAGAAUUGAGGCAGUUCUGAAGGCAAAAGGGGGUCCAACCCGUUACUAGCAUGGUGUACCUAAUAAAGUGGCCGGUGAGUGUAUAGUUUAAAUGCACGAAUCAUGCAGGAGAAUUAUUUAUACAUUCAAAUGUGCUGUAGAGGUAUAAUCAAUUGGACAGCGUGUUUGUUUAAUAUUAUGUUUGUCUCUCAUUUGAUCAGAUUGCUUUACCCUGAGGUAAACGUCAUAAAAUGGGUCCAGUGCAAGACGUGCAGGGGCUGGCUGCAUCAGGAUUGUGCUGGGAUUGAAAUGGAGCCGUUUGACUGCGGGUGCGAGGACUCCAUUGAGCAUCCUCGGUAUAACAUAAUUUAUCAAGGAAACAUAGUAUCUGUCAAAAAUACGAGGCUCAAAGGAUGAAAAAAUGAGGGCUUGCUCUUUUCUUAUUUCUCUGCAGGAUCAAGGAUGCUGUUGACAGUUGAGGAAUUCAUGCUGUCUUUUCUAAGACACAGAUCAAGGUUGCUUUUGAAUGCACUAUCAGUUGUUAAAGCCACCAUUUCUUUUUCAGAUGAUUACAUUUUUGUCUCUUGCUCUUUGGUUUCAGACAUUACACGAUGAUCUACUGUCUGGAAAGAUCCGCUCCAACAGAAUGUUCCUUUGGAGGAAUCCCGCCACCUCACUCCGACUAAAGCAGCAUCUUAAGAUAAGGACACUAAGUUGGAGUGAGCAGCGCGUAAGUAAAAAUGCCAUCCAUCAUGAGUAUUUUUACUCUCAGGGGUGUUACAUUUGAAAGGUGUUUACUUUCUGUGUUUUUCUUCAAUAGAUGUUCGAGCUCCUGCGGUUCAUUGAGGUGGCAACAAACAUUUCUAAAAAAAUAAAGAGAGGCGAGAUUUAUCUGCUUGAUUUCGUUUUUGACGUCAUGCUCCCAGAGGUGAGUAGAUCAAACUAUAUAGCUUGCUUUGAAAAUUGAUGAUAUUGUUAAGAGGUUGUUCUUAUUCAUUUGGAAAGCUCAAGAACAACAAUUAACCCAUACUGCAUAACUUCAAUUGUUCACAUUAUUUGACUGUUUUUCAGCUUUUGAUCAAAGCACUGAAGGAGCAUGGCAUCAGCCGGUUCAGAGCAGAGCUGAUGAUGGCCUGUGGCAACGUGUUUUAAGCCCCCCACCACACCGACGGC